AAUAUUGGGCAAUGCCCGCAGGGGUGACCCAGCAACGCCGCGUGGAGGAUGAAUGUCGUAAGAUUGUAAACUCCUGUUAGAGGGGAAGAAUAGUACCGGUUGGACCGGUAUAUGACUGUACCCUCAGAGAAAGCCCCGGCUAACUACGUGCCAGCAGCCGCGGUAAUCCGUAGGGGGCAAGCGUUGUCCGGAUUUACUGGGUGUAAAGGGCGCGCAGGCGGGAUAAAAAGUCAGUGGUGAAAUCCUACAGCUUAACUGUAGAACUGCCUUUGAUACUUUUAUUCUUGAGUUCGUGAGAGAGAGACGGAAAGCCAGGUGUAGUGG
rnacentral:rRNA from 1 species